GAUGAACGCUGGCGGCGUGCCUAAUACAUGCAAGUCGAGCGAACGGACGAGAAGCUUGCUUCUCUGAUGUUAGCGGCGGACGGGUGAGUAACACGUGGAUAACCUACCUAUAAGACUGGGAUAACUUCGGGAAACCGGAGCUAAUACCGGAUAAUAUUUUGAACCGCAUGGUUCAAAAGUGAAAGACGGUCUUGCUGUCACUUAUAGAUGGAUCCGCGCUGCAUUAGCUAGUUGGUAAGGUAACGGCUUACCAAGGCAACGAUGCAUAGCCGACCUGAGAGGGUGAUCGGCCACACUGGAACUGAGACACGGUCCAGACUCCUACGGGAGGCAGCAGUAGGGAAUCUUUCGCAAUGGGCGAAAGCCUGACGGAGCAACGCCGCGUGAGUGAUGAAGAUCUUCGGAUCGUAAAACUCUGUUAUUAGGGAAGAACAUAUGUGUAAGUAACUGUGCACAUCUUGACGGUACCUAAUCAGAAAGCCACGGCUAACUACGUG
rnacentral:rRNA from 1 species